rnacentral:rRNA from 1 species
UAAGACAGAGGUUGCAAACGUUGUUCGGAAUUACUGGGCAUAAAGCGCACGUAGGCGGUCCGUUAAGUCAUGUGUGAAAUCCCCCGGCUCAACCGGGGAAUUGCGCCUGAUACUGGCGGGCUAGAGGUCGAUAGGGGUGAGCGGAACUCCAGGUGGAGCGGUGAAAUGCGUAGAUAUCUGGAGGAACACCGGUGGCGAAAGCGGCUCACUGGAUCGAAACUGACGCUGAGGUGCGAAAGCUAGGGUAGCAAACGGGAUUAGAUACCCCGGUAGUCCUAGCCGUAAACGAUGGGCACUGGGCAGGGGAGGUUCCUAUGCCUUCUCUGCCGAAGCUAAUGUGUUAAGUGCCCCGCCUGGGGAGUACGCUCGCAAGGGUA